AUUACUUUUAUAUUGAGAGAAACAUCUUGUGAAUUGAAAAGCUACUAUCAACUUAACAAUUCUCCCAUGAAAAAGCUGAUGGCCUUUUAUAUCAUCUUUAGGAAGAAAUCAGAAGUCACCUCAACUUCUCAUCAAAGCUACAAACAUAAACUUCCAUCUCCACCAGAAUGUAGAUACGAUGGCUGGAACUAUAAGUAUCCUUGGGAAUGAAGGCUACACUUACAGAGCAACAAAAUAGGAGUCUAGAUUCCUGGAAGCAAUGGCUUUAUAAAGAGGCACCUGAUUUCAGGCCUUAGUCCUGGAAUGAAAUGUCAUCACCUUCAAAAGCUGGAAUGAGAGCUUUAUGACUACCUGAUACAACCAGGCUCCUUCCUAUGGGAGCCAAUGAGUGUCACCAGAAGGGCUCAGAGCUUUGGGAAGCAGCCCACUUCAUGACUGGACUGCUCUAAGAACGUGAAAAACUCAUCCUUCUGCUGCUCUGAAAUGUGUCUCUUUGUGGCUUCUACCCGUGAUAUCCAGGCUAUAGCACGCAAUAAACAGAA